rnacentral:rRNA from 1 species
AUACCCCCCAGUACGGGGGUCCCGGCACCGGAGGCCCGGCGUAGCGGUCGGACCGCGGGAUCUCCCCUCUCCGGGGGUUCGGUCCCGCGGACCCGGCCCGUCGGAGUCCGAGCGCGCGAGUCGGUACCCGAAAGAUGGUGAACUAUGCCCGACCAGGGCGAAGUCGGAGGAAACUCCGGUGGAGGCCCGAAGCGGUUCUGACGUGCAAAUCGAUCGUCGGAGUGAGGUAUAGGGGCGAAAGACCAAUCGAACCGUCUAGUAGCUGGUUCCCUCCGAAGUUUCCCUCAGGAUAGCUGGCAUUCGGGAAAAUUCAGUUGCUUCGCGUAGAGAGAAUGAGUAGAGGCCCUGGGGCCCGAGACGACCUCAACCUAUUAUCAAACUACUACGGGGUGCGUCGGGCCGGCCUUGCACGAGUGAGGUGCCGGCCAGCGAAUGUACGAGUG